rnacentral:tRNA from 1 species
UUUAAUGUGGCAGAUCAAUGUAAUGAACUUAAGCUUCAUAUAGGAAAUAUUUAUUUUUAUUAAAA